rnacentral:rRNA from 1 species
CCUACGGGUGACAGCAGUAGGGAAUCUUUCACAAUGGGCGAAAGCCUGAUGGAGCAACGCCGCGUGCAGGAUGAAGGCCUUCGGGUUGUAAACUGCUUUUAUAAGCGAGAAAUAUGAUGGUAACUUAUGAAUAAGGAUCGGCUAACUACGUGCCAGCAGCCGCGGUAAUACGGAGGAUGCGAGCGUUAUCCGGAUUUAUUGGGUUUAAAGGGUGCGUAGGCGGAUUUUUAAGUCAGCGGUAAAAUGUCCGGGCUCAACCCGGGCCGGCCGUUGAAACUGGGGAUCUUGAGUGGGCGAGAAGUAUGCGGAAUGCGUGGUGUAGCGGUGAAAUGCAUAGAUAUCACGCAGAACUCCGAUUGCGAAGGCAGCAUACCGGCGCCCGACUGACGCUGAGGCACGAAAGCGUGGGGAUCGAACAGGAUUAGAUACCCGUGUAGUC